rnacentral:rRNA from 1 species
GUAACGCGUGAGUAACCUGCCUUGGAGUGGGGAAUAACAGCUGGAAACAGCUGCUAAUACCGCAUAAUAUGUCUGUGUCGCAUGGCACUGGACAUCAAAGAUUUAUCGCUCUGAGAUGGACUCGCGUCUGAUUAGCUAGUUGGUGGGGCAACGGCCCACCAAGGCGACGAUCAGUAGCCGGACUGAGAGGUUGGCCGGCCACAUUGGGACUGAGACACGGCCCAGACUCCUACGGGAGGCAGCAGUGGGGAAUAUUGGGCAAUGGGCGCAAGCCUGACCCAGCAACGCCGCGUGAAGGAAGAAGGCUUUCGGGUUGUAAACUUCUUUUCUCAGGGACGAAGCAAGUGACGGUACCUGAGGAAUAAGCCACGGCUAACUACGUGCCAGCAGCCGCGGUAAUACGUAGGUGGCAAGCGUUAUCCGGAUUUACUGGGUGUAAAGGGCGUGUAGGCGGGAAAGCAAGUCAGAUGUGAAAACCACGGGCUCAACCUGUGGCCUGCAUUUGAAACUGUUUUUCUUGAGUACUGGAGAGGCAGACGGAAUUCCUCGUGUAGCGGUGAAAUGCGUAGAUAUGAGGAGGAACACCAGUGGCGAAGGCGGCCUGCUGGGCUUUUACUGACGCUGAGGCUCGAAAGUGUGGGGAGCAAACAGGAUUAGAUACCCUGGUAGUCCACACCGUAAACGAUGAGCGCUAGGUGU